rnacentral:rRNA from 1 species
GUGUCAGCCGCCGCGGUAAUACGGAGGGUGCAAGCGUUGCUCGGAAUUACUGGGCGUAAAGCGGGCGCAGGCGGUUUGUCAGGUCGGGUGUGAAAGCCCGGGGCUCAACCCCGGAACUGCAUCCGAAACCGACAGACUUGAGUACGAGAGAGGAAGGCGGAAUUCCUGGUGUAGAGGUGAAAUUCGUAGAUAUCAGGAGGAACACCUGCGGCGAAGGCGGCUUUCUGGCUCGAUACUGACGCUCAUGCCCGAAAGCGUGGGGAGCAAACAGGAUUAGAUACCCUGGUAGUCCACGCUGUAAACGAUGGAUGCUAGAUGUCGGAGGACUAUACCCCUUCGGUGUCGCAGUUAACGCGUUAAGCAUCCCGCCUGGGGAGUACGGCCGCAAGGCUAAA